rnacentral:rRNA from 1 species
CCUACGGGUGGCAGCAGUGGGGAAUAUUGGACAAUGGGGGCAACCCUGAUCCAGCCAUGCCGCGUGUGUGAAGAAGGCCCUCGGGUUGUAAAGCACUUUCAGUGAGGAAGAACGCCUGGUGGUUAAUACCCAUCAGGAAAGACAUCACUCACAGAAGAAGCACCGGCUAACUCCGUGCCAGCAGCCGCGGUAAUACGGAGGGUGCGAGCGUUAAUCGGAAUUACUGGGCGUAAAGCGCGCGUAGGUGGCUUGAUAAGCCGGUUGUGAAAGCCCCGGGCUCAACCUGGGAACGGCAUCCGGAACUGUCAAGCUAGAGGGCAGGAGAGGAAGGUAGAAUUCCCGGUGUAGCGGUGAAAUGCGUAGAGAUCGGGAGGAAUACCAGUGGCGAAGGCGGCCUUGUGGACUGACACUGACACUGAGGUGCGAAAGCGUGGGUAGCAAACAGGAUUAGAUACCCCAGUAGUC